rnacentral:rRNA from 1 species
AUUGAACGCUGGCGGCAUGCCUUACACAUGCAAGUCGAACGGUAACAGGUCUUCGGACGCUGACGAGUGGCGAACGGGUGAGUAAUGCAUCGGAACGUGCCCAGUCGUGGGGGAUAACUGCUCGAAAGAGCAGCUAAUACCGCAUACGACCUGAGGGUGAAAGCGGGGGACCGUAAGGCCUCGCGCGAUUGGAGCGGCCGAUGUCAGAUUAGCUAGUUGGUGGGGUAAAGGCCUACCAAGGCAACGAUCUGUAGUUGGUCUGAGAGGACGACCAGCCACACUGGGACUGAGACACGGCCCAGACUCCUACGGGAGGCAGCAGUGGGGAAUUUUGGACAAUGGGCGCAAGCCUGAUCCAGUAAUGCCGCGUGCAGGAAGAAGGCCUUCGGGUUGUAAACUGCUUUUGUCAGGGAAGAAAUCUUCUGGGCUAAUACCCCGGGAGGAUGACGGUACCUGAAGAAUAAGCACCGGCUAACUACGUG